rnacentral:rRNA from 1 species
UACGUAGGGGGGCGAGCGUUUGUCCGGAUUCAUUGGGCGUAAAGAGCUCGUAGGCGGCUUGUCAAGUCGGGUGUGAAACCUCCAGGCUCAACCUGGAGACGCCACUCGAGACUGUCAUGGCUAGAGUCCGGUAGGGGAUCACGGAAUUCCUGGUGUAGCGGUGAAAUGCGCAGAUAUCAGGAGGAACACCGGUGGCGAAGGCGGGGUCUCUGGGCCGAUACUGACGCUGGAGGAGCGAAAGCGUGGGGAGCAAACAGG